UUUGUCUCCUCCUCCUCCUCCUCCUCCUCCUCCUCCUCCUCCUCCUCCUCCUGUAUGAAUAGUGUGCCUGUGAGCAGGAGGCAGUCAGGAAACAGUACUGCCUGCACUGCUCAGCUGCAUGCUCCUAACAGAUUGUUGUCUGAGGCGAGAAGGCAGCAGGCCAUGCAUGAAUCCACAGCUACCCUCGAGGAGAUAAUGGUGUCCAGUCACUCCUAGGAACUGGAGAGAGAGUUCAGCUGUGCAUGUUUUCACUGCCUGACACAGUCUUUCCUUGAAAAGUGAAAGUGCUGAGACUUGUCUUUACUUGCUCCUGUAGCAGCUUCAGACUUUUUGAUUCAUCUCAGCUCCUCUUGUUUUUUUUUUUUUGUUUUUUUUCUUCCCCCCAAACAUGGGUUGUUCUUCCUCCAGUGCACAGACUGUGGACCAAGAGAAGAGACCAGGUACAAAACCUGAAGAGACCAAUGGAAGCACAGUUGCAAUCAAAAAUGGGCACAUUGCAGAAGACGCACAGACCAUCGAGGACCAGAUGCAGCUGCCGGUGCAGACGGCCAUACCCAACGGUCUUCAGCCAGGGGCCGACGAUGAGAAAGAGGUCGUUCUAAUGGCCCUGGAGGCCAAAGAAGACCUUGUAGCUGAUGUUGUAGCGGCCCCUGAACCUGAGCCUGAAGCUGCUGCGCCUGAAGAGCCGCCUCCAGAAGCUGCAGCCUCCGCUCCAGGAGGAGACCCGGCUGAGCCCGAAGCUGCUGAAGCAGCAGUGGAGGAAGCGGCCCCUGUAGAAACUGUAGCCGAGGAGGAGGCCCCUCCGGAGGUCGUGGCCCUCGAUGAGGCCCCCGCUGUUGAAUGUGUUGAAGCAGUGGAAGCAGAGGCCAGUGUUGUUGCUGAACCUGUGGUACCAGAAGCGGUAGAGACCCCAGAAGCUGAGGAGAAGGCCCAAACUGAGCCCGUUCAAGUUUCCGAGGAAGUGAAGACUGAAGCGCCAGCAGCAGUAGUAGCUGUGGAAGCAGUCGCCGAGGUCCCAACAGAAGUAGCCGAGGUCGUCCAGGCUCCAGCAGAAGCGGCUCCAGCAGAAGCGGCUCCAGAGGCAUCCACAGAAGUAGCUGAAGCUGUCCAAGCUCCUGCAGAAGCGGCUCCAGAGGUUCCCGCAGUCGCCGAGGCUGUUGAAGCUCCUGCAGAAGCGGCUCCAGAGGUUCCCGCAGUCGCCGAGGCUGUUCAAGCUCCUGUAGAAGCGGCUGCUGAGGCCUCCACAGAAGUGGCCGAGGCUGUGCAAGCCACUGUGGAAGUGGCUGCUGAGACACCAGCAGAAGAAGCCGCCGCGCUGGUGGAGGCAGAGGGUCCAACUGACAAAUCUGCAACAGAGGCUGCCUCAGCUCCAAGUGAGGAAGUCGCUCCAGAUCAGGUUUCAGCACCGAGUGAAGCCGCAGCACCAUCCGAACCCUCGGUGCCUGCUGAACCUGCAGCGUCGGUCAUAGACACAGCCAUUGCUGCGGCGACUAUUCCAGACAUGCCUCUGAUACCUCCAGCCACAGCGGAGGCCCAGGCUGAGUCCCAGCCUGCCGCUGAGGCAGCAGCAGCAGCAGCAGCAGCAGCAGCCCCCUCCACAGCUCCAGAAGCUGCCGCCCAGCAGCUCCAGACCGCGGAGGAGCCAGCGACUGUCCCAGCAGCCUCAGCAGCACCUGAACCUUCACCUGACGUGGUCCCAGUGAAGGCGGCCUCGCAGGAUACCGAGAGCGAGAAAGCCAAAAAGGAGGAUUGAGUUGCAAAAAGGGAUUCUCCAAAAAAAACUAAACCCCAAAGACGACUGGAUACAAAACGAGAUGAAGCAAGAAAAAAAGGAAAGAACACUAAAUUUUCUGUAUUUUCUACCCAGCACUCACCAAACUUUACACCAGAUACAUUAAAUCCACGUGCCUUAAUAACUUAUCUUUUAGGAAAAACCUGGACUUUUCCUACAUUUGUAUAUAACCCCAUUCUGGAGGAGGAGUCUUCAAUAUUGAGACAUAAAGUGCCUGGAGCCUCAUACUACACAUGUAGGCUUUUUAGAAAAUGUUUUCAUUUUUAGAUGGAACUGCUUCAAAAACAAACAAACAGGUAAUGUGUGUCAAGAGGGUGCAAUACUCUGUGAAAUCUAUGAACUCUUGAGCGAGUGGAGUAUGUUUGAAAUGCAGGGAAGGAUGCUUGUAGUGAAUCUUUGAUUAUUUAAAGUAGCUGCUUCUGAGGAAAACAAGCCAAACACAACUGUGAAUAAAAUUAUGCAAAGAGGUUAAAGUGACAGAAAUACCAAAACCAAACGGGCGAAUAGCUCGGCUGGGGUCACUUCAGCUUUUUUAAUUGUUCUUCUUUUAUCUAUAUGAAACUGAUGUUUGAAGCUCAUGUCAUAUAAAAAAAAAAAAAGAAAGAAAAUGUACAUUUUGUUUACACAUUUUAUAACUACAGUGUUUUCUAACGAAACUCAUCUUGUUAAUGGGAAUGACAGUAAUACGUGUUGAAUGACACAAGGUUUGAUUUUUAGAUACUUUGUUGUUUUACAUGUAGAGAAUCAGUCAUCCGAUGUGUUUUGAGUUGUCUUAAGGACUUAAAGAUGAUCACAUGUCUAUGCAAAGGCUUAGUGCUGACGAGAUAAUUCAUCCGGUUUGAGGACGAUGUAAUUGUACCGUCGCCUAUCUGUUUUCUGAAUCUUCCCUUCAGCUGUCAGGUGUUCCUGAAACUCUCAAAGAUGUUUGGCGUCACAGCACCAUGCUGCACGCUCCUUUACUGCAUUACGUACAUGUGUGGCACAGUAUGACUUCUUAGAUGAUUCUGUUAAAGGAUAGAGGACCUAGAAAAUGACUUUAGUUUCCUAAAAUGUGAUGGAUGACAUGGGAAAACUUUCUUUUUAUUUGUUUCUUUCCAUCUGUUUCUCUGUAACUUGUUCAAUCUUUGAAAUUUGUCUAUGACUCUGCUAACCUCUUAGUGUACAGAAUAAAGUUUUACCCACUAUUGUGUGAGUUUUUUUUUUUAUUUUUUUAAACAA
ensembl:lncRNA